GGAUAAGUUUGGGGUUCUCCUUGUGUUGUGCCUUAAAAAGGUAAAGAAAACUCCUGGGCUAUCUGGCUGCAAGUUAGUGGGAGUAUCUGAGGACACACUGGGUGUUCUAGCACUGAAUGAGCAACUAGGGAACACUGUUAUGGCCAAGUGUAUCCUUGGGUGAAUGUUCUCUCUCCUGCAAAGUUGCGGGAACAACAAACAACCAAGUGAACAUUAUUUCAAACCCUGCAGCUGCAACUGGUGGGGGGCAGGAGGACUGAAUAAAGUGGCGCCAGAAGCACGUUUCUUAAUGACUGGGAGAGUUCCAAGAACAUUUAACAGAUAAAGGAACUGGGAAUUAUUCUUUUCUCCAAUCAAUUCAGAAGGAAGUACUUCAGGAAUAUGUCAUCUAAGUGGAGGGUUUUCUUUUUAACAAAUGAUAAAAUAUGGUAUGUGACAAGUGACA